rnacentral:rRNA from 1 species
GUGCAUAUCAAUAAGCGGAGGAAAAGAAACCAACAGGGAUUGCCCUAGUAACGGCGAGUGAAGCGGCAACAGCUCAAAUUUGAAAUCUGGCGUCUUUGGCGUCCGAGUUGUAAUUUGCAGAGGGCGCUUUGGCAUUGGCAGCGGUCCAAGUUCCUUGGAACAGGACGUCACAGAGGGUGAGAAUCCCGUACGUGGUCGCUAGCCUUUACCGUGUAAAGCCCCUUCGACGAGUCGAGUUGUUUGGGAAUGCAGCUCUAAAUGGGAGGUAAAUUUCUUCUAAAGCUAAAUACUGGCCAGAGACCGAUAGCGCACAAGUAGAGUGAUCGAAAGAUGAAAAGCACUUUGGAAAGAGAGUUAAAAAGCACGUGAAAUUGUUGAAAGGGAAGCGCUUGCAGCCAGACUUGCCUGUAGUUGCUCAUCCGGGUUUUUACCCGGUGCACUCUUCUACGGGCAGGCCAGCAUCAGUUUGGGCGGUUGGAUAAAGGUCUCUGUCAUGUACCUCCUCUCGGGGAGAACUUAUAGGGGAGACGACAUGCAACCAGCCCGGACUGAGGUCCGCGCAUCUGCUAGGAUGCUGGCGUAAUGGCUGUAAGCGGCCCGUCUUGAACACGGACCA